rnacentral:lncRNA from 1 species
AUAUACGUAUAUACAUACAUAUAUAUAUAUAUACACACAUACAUAUAUAUAUUUGGGAUAAUAUUUUUUUCUUUGGUUAAAUAACAAAAAAAAUAAUAAUACAUAAAUAAAAGGUUUUUUCCUCUCUGAAUUAAAAUAUAUCAAGUCCUGCUGGGUGCAGUGGCACAUACCUAUAUCCCACCUACUUGGCAGGCUAAGACAGGAGAAUCACAAAGUUUGAGGCCAGCCUGGGAAACUUAGCUAGAACCUGACUCAAAAUAAAAAGGGAAUUGAGUGUGGUGGUGUGCCCUGUAACCCUAGCAAUCUGGGAGGCUGAGUGAGACAGGAGUAUCUCAAGUUUGAGGCCAGCUUCAGCAAUUUAGC